UGAACCACACUGAAUAACCUGUGGCACGAAGUCAAUAACGGAGCUUAUGUCCAGUGAGAGACACAUUAACAGGUGUUCAGCUGUCUGUGAUCCAAGACAAGCGUAACCAUCUUUCAGACCUUUGACGAAAUUUCUUAAUUUGGAACAAGAACUGCAAAGAGGUUGAUAAAAUGGGCUUCUGCAAGAUGGGUAAUGUUUUCCUGGAUUAAAUUUAGAAGAUGGGAAAGGAAGCAAAAGAUUAAAACAAUGUUUUGGUGUUACCUG